UGGGGAAUCUUGCGCAAUGGGCGAAAGCCUGACGCAGCGACGCCGCGUGGAGGAUGAAGGCCUUCGGGUUGUAAACUCCUGUUAAGUGGGAAGAAAUCUCUAUCUCUAAUAUAGAUAGAGGAUGACGGUACCACUAGAGAAAGCACUGGCUAACCUCGUGCCAGCAGCCGCGGUAAUACGAGGGGUGCAAGCGUUAUUCGAAAUUAUUGGGCGUAAAGGGUGCGUAGGUGGUUCAUUAAGUCAAUUGUUAAAUCUCCCGGCUUAACUGGGAACAAGCAGUCGAAACUGAUGAACUAGAGGAUAGAAGAGAGAAGUGGAAUUCUCGGAGUAGCGGUAAAAUGCGUAGAUCUCGAGAGGAACACCGAUGGCGAAGGCAGCUUCUUAGGCUAUACCUGACACUGAGGCACGAAAGCGUGGGGAGCAAACAGGAUUAGAUACCCCUGUAGUCC
rnacentral:rRNA from 1 species